AUAACGUAGUAGAAAGUUACGCUAAUACCGCAUACGAUCUAAGGAUGAAAGCGGGGGACUCGCAAGAGCCUCGCGCGAUUGGAGCGGCCGAUAUCAGAUUAGGUAGUUGGUGGGGUAAAGGCUCACCAAGCCAACGAUCUGUAGCUGGUCUGAGAGGACGACCAGCCACACUGGAACUGAGACACGGUCCAGACUCCUACGGGAGGCAGCAGUGGGGAAUUUUGGACAAUGGACGCAAGUCUGAUCCAGCCAUUCCGCGUGCAGGAUGAAGGCCCUCGGGUUGUAAACUGCUUUUGUACGGAACGAAAAGGUUUCUAUUAAUACUAGGAGCUCAUGACGGUACCGUAAGAAUAAGCACCGGCUAACUACGUG
rnacentral:rRNA from 1 species